AUAACCCGUAUAAAAGUUUUGAUAUUCUUUCUUCUGCGCUUUUCUCUCUGCUACCCCUUUCUCUCGUCUACAACAAGAUGCAAGGUCUUCGCGUUUGUGUUUCGGAUGAUUUCAAUUUGGAUAGAAUACUAUUAUCCAUACAAUUCUUUAUUUUGUAAAGCAUAUAUAUAUAUAUAUAUAUAUAGAGAGAGAGAGAGAGAGAGAGUGUGAUGGAGGAGAAGACAGAGAAGGUGAAGGGUGAGGCGCUGCAGAUAAUCGAAGCGUUUGAGGUUCUGCCAAAGCUCGUGGUUUUCGAUCUCAAUUACACUCUCUCUGGCCUUUCUACUGUGAGUGUCGAUCGAAGCGUGAAAUGCCCUCUCUGUAUCCUCACGCCAAAUGCAUAUUGUUAGCGCUCAAAGAGAAAGGCAUCGACGUUGCAGUCGCUUCUCACUCACCAACCGCUGACAUAGCAACAGUUUUCCUCAACAAAUUGGUCCUCUCCUCACUCUUCGUCGCACAGGUCAAUUCUUGUGCUUAUCUUGCUUUUUCAAUUCUCCGUUGCGUCGUCCAUCUCGAUGUUCAAACUCGUCCUCCGUCGCGCCCUCGAUCUCUCGCCUUCCGUCUCGCCGCCUUUGUUCUUGUCAUUCGAUUUCGCUUUCGUUCCCGCCAUUUGCGCCGUCUGUCGACCUCGCCGUAGCUCUUGUCGUCGACCUUGCCGUAGCUCUGGUCGACCUCGCUGUAUCGUCUUCGAACACCGUAAACCCUCUUACAGUAUUAACUUGGUUUUACGAUCUUAGAGUAAGCAGUUUAAUGACUAAACUUUACAGCAGAGACAACAUAUAUUUUAAUAAUUUUAUGUUUUACAUCAGUAUAUAUUUCAACUUUUGGCAACCUUGAUUGGGCCUCUCUUUCCUA